GUCUGUAUGUUUUUUGUUUAAUUUCGACCACAGAUGUUUUGCAUGUACAAAUAUUGUACAAAUAUACACAGCAGUAAUAGACAUUAAAUACAUGCUCUAUACUACACAGAACUAUAUAUAUUUAUCUAAAAUAGACAUAUUUACAUUAUAAUUAUUUAUAUUCUUUUAAAAAUGCUCUUGCAAACUUAAUGAUUUUAAUACAAAGAUCCCAGGAUCAUGUAUUGCUCACAUGGUUACUAUUGACUAAUGCUAUUAUCAGACCUCAAAAAAGAAUUGACCCUUUGUCCCUUUACAAAUUUAAAUGGCCUGAAAAAUGCAGAAAGCACUACUGAAACCCCCCUAUAUUGAAAUACAUUUUUUUAAGUGGAAAGCUCAACUAUUGCAACCCCUAAAAUUGAAAUACAUACUUUUUUAUGCAUAGAACUAUUGAACACCCCCCCCCCCCCAAAAAAAAAAAAAAGAAAUUAAAAAAUAUUAAAAUACAUAAUUUUUUUAUAUGUACUAAGGGGUCAUCCAUAAUUGUCAACCAUUUUCCAAAGUGUACAAAACAUACAUUUUUCCUGACCCUCACCCACCCUCAAAAAGUGUCCAUCAACGGUUUUCAGAUUUCAAGACAAGAAUCAAUCAUUCUAAAUAAAAAGUAGAUCCUGUCUAUUAUAGCUAUAUAUGGUUUCGUUUAAUAUAAAAAUUUGCAUUGAAUAUAAACUGAAACAUAUCUGACUGUUUUAUUUUUAAUAUUUUUGAAAAAGCGUAAAGUAAAAAUGUUGAUUUUUUACCCCCCUCCCCCCGAAGUGUAUGUUUUGUACACUUUGGAAAAUGGUUGACAAUUAUGGAUGACCCCUAUCAAAACAACCAAAACUGUGUACCAAAUUAACAGAUGGUCUUGGGAGGCUUUCUCCUUUUAAUAUUUUUGCUACAUGAGAUGACUAAUUUAUGUUUUAAUUUGUUGCCCACUCAAAGCAAAGCAUUCUUUCUAGGACACAUUAACUGCUGAAAUUAUUGAGUCAAAAUAUUUUCCAUUACUUAAAAGUUUAUUCAGUAGUACAUUGAUAAAUCCCCAAUAGCUCAUACAGUGUUACUGGUCUUAAUUAACAUGUGAACUUAGAAUUAUACAUUAAUAUAUAACAGAUCAUUGUAAUAGUACAGUGACUUUUUUAUGUCCAAAAACUUCAAUAAAAGUUUGAAUAUAUUGUUUCAGCAUAAGAUUUUUUUUAUCUUUACUAUAUAUAUAACUAACAAAAGUAUAAAUAAAAAUGUUUUAAAAAUUCAAUAUUUGACAGAUUAACAAUUCCACUAAUGAAGGAGUUAAAAGCAUCACUGAAGAGACACUUAAUGGUCAAAAAGCACCUCAGGUGCAGUAACACUGGUAUUGUUUUAUACACUUGUAAAAUGGAAUUGUUGUUGUUAUUACAUUUUUAUACAAACAAACAGAUUUUAGGCUUUUCUUUUUUAGUAUUACUGAAAAAUUAACAUCUAAUAUACACUUGAUAAAAAUUAGAAUUGUUUUUUUUUAAAUAUUUUUAUACAAAUAUGUAUCUUUAACUGUACCUUUGAUGUAAAAAAAAAACACACCUAGCAACAUCUUUUUCACACAAAAAAUGCUCAAAUCAUGAAACAAAACUAAUGAUAAUUUUCCAUGAUUUUAUGUAUUCAACAAUAUUCAUUUAAAGAGGUGCCAUUUUUGAGUAAUGUUGCUAUUUUGAAUUUGAAUACUAAUUCCCUACAACCAGCUAUGCCAUUGCGAUUUGGGGAAAAAGGGGAGGGGGAUGGGGGUAGGUCAAAACAAUAUAACCAAUUGCAAUUGCGUAAACCUGUGCAUGUCAUCAGUGAGAGAUUUUCAGAUAGUAAUAUUCCAUGAUAGAUAAAUGCAAAUAAAGAGAAAAUGGAAACUUGUCAGCCAUAAAGCACAAUAUUAAUUGUUUUAAAACUUCAAAAAUCAGUUUAUAUCUUAAUUACUUAAUGCAGUGGUCAUAAUAAAAUAAUAUAGAUAAAAAAAAAUGUGUCCAUAGGACACAUAUGCCCCCACUCCAUAAUGUAGGAGGGAUUAGCAUAUUAUGCUCUCUAUAUAUAUUAUAUAUAUUUUCAUGUUUAUAAAGGACAUGAGGUUUUGUUCUUUUCUAAAAAAAAAAGCUUGGUUUUGGGGUUUUAUAGAUCAAAUAUUUUAUCUACUUCCUGGUCCAUAACAAGAUUUUAAAUGUUUCAGCUGAGGCAUAGUUAAGUUACUUUGUAUCAUUCAGAAACCCAACAUUUUAUUAUUGUUCCCUUAUCAAUUUGCUUAAUCUGAAAGUACAAAAUAGAAAUUGGUCGAUUUAUAAUUAGAUUUAUGUAUAAUGGAAGUGUUAAACGACCUCGACUGGCUAUACAGCCAUCGCAUGGUUGGUUUGUGUAAAGUGGUCCCUAAGAGAUCUUCACAAAUCUUAAAUGAUUUAUAGGAGGCUAAAUCACGUUGUCAUCAAGAAACCAAUUAGAGGAAUAAUAUAAAAGAAUGAAACUAUAUGCUGCAUAACCUUUCACCAUACAAGUUUCAAUAAUUUGGCAAACUAAAAAAGUUCUAUUGUUAUAAUAAAAAUGUCAUGCAAAUAAAUCGUAUAAUUUUUAUUACAGAGAAAAUUUCCUACAUUGUUCAGAGUUCACAAAAGGUGAAUGAUAAUUAUCAGGUCAGCUAAAUAUUUCAAUAAAGAAUCAAUAAUAAACAAAAUUUCAAAAUCUUAUUCUAAUCUAAGGAGUUAGUGGAAAAAUCUAAUUUAACUGGUCCAAAAACUAAAGUGUUAAUUGGUUUCAUUGUUGGUGAAUGUCAUUUGUGAACUCAAAAGUUGCAGGAUUACAAGACUACAUUAUAAUUAGAAAUAAAUUCAGUCACUACUACCCUGGUGACAAGAUCAGUAAAAAAAUAUUAUUAUAAAUUGUAUAUGAGCAAUAAACACGAUAAAUCAUCUUAUGAAGAAAAAUAGAAAGAUCAACCAAAAAUGAAUACAUACCAUUGCAGUAAUGUAAAUUUACACAAAACAAAUGUGUCCUUUCAGUUGUUUUUUUUAUAACA
rnacentral:lncRNA from 1 species